AACGAACGCUGGCGGCGUGCUUAACACAUGCAAGUCGAACGGCAACGCCCUACUUUUGUGGGGUGCUCGAGUGCCGAACGGGUGAGUAACACGUGAAUAACCUGCCCUUCACUUUCGUGUAACUUCAGGAAACUGGGGCUACUCCCGUAUCGGAGAUCCUGCUGCAUGGUGGGGGUUGGAUCGUUUCAGCGGGUGGGGAUGGACUCGCGGCUUAUCGGCUUGUUGGUGGGGUAGUGGCUUACCAAGGCUUUGACGGGUAGCCGGCCUGAGAGGGUGACCGGCCUCAAUGGGACUGCGAGAGGGAGCAGACGGCUACGGGAGGCAAUAGGGGGGAAUAUGGUACAACGGUAGCGAGCCUGAGGAAGCAACCUUCGGGUUGGGAUGACGGCCUGUGGGGUGUAAACCGCAGUCGCCUGAGACGAAGCGGGAGUGACGGUAAUGGGUAAAGAAGCACCGGCUAACUACGUG
rnacentral:rRNA from 1 species